AGCGAACGCUGGCGGCAGGCCUAACACAUGCAAGUCGAACGAACUCUUCGGAGUUAGUGGCGGACGGGUGAGUAACACGUGGGAACGUGCCUUUAGGUUCGGAAUAACUCAGGGAAACUUGUGCUAAUACCGAAUGUGCCCUUCGGGGAAAGAUUUAUCGCCUUUAGAGCGGCCCGCGUCUGAUUAGCUAGUUGGUGAGGUAAAGGCUCACCAAGGCAACGAUCAGUAGCUGGUCUGAGAGGAUGACCAGCCACAUUGGGACUGAGACACGGCCCAAACUCCUACGGGAGGCAGCAGUGGGGAAUCUUGCGCAAUGGGCGAAAGCCUGACGCAGCCAUGCCGCGUGUGUGAAGAAGGCCCUGCGGGGUUAGUAAAGCACUUUCAGUGGGGAAGAACAGAUUCGGGUCAAUACCCCGGAGCCCUGACGUUACCCACAGAAGAAGCACCGGCUUAACNCCGUGCCAGCAGCCGCGGUUAAUGUAGUCGUGU
rnacentral:rRNA from 1 species